rnacentral:rRNA from 1 species
GACGAACGCUGGCGGCGUGCCUAAUACAUGCAAGUUGAGCGCUGAAGGUUGGUACUUGUACCGACUGGAUGAGCAGCGAACGGGUGAGUAACGCGUGGGGAAUCUGCCUUUGAGCGGGGGACAACAUUUGGAAACGAAUGCUAAUACCGCAUAAAAACUUUAAACACAAGUUUUAAGUUUGAAAGAUGCAAUUGCAUCACUCAAAGAUGAUCCCGCGUUGUAUUAGCUAGUUGGUGAGGUAAAGGCUCACCAAGGCGAUGAUACAUAGCCGACCUGAGAGGGUGAGCGGCCACAUUGGGACUGGGACACGGCCCAAACUCCUACGGGAGGCAGCAGUAGGGAAUCUUCGGCAAUGGACGAAAGUCUGACCGAGCAACGCCGCGUGAGUGAAGAAGGUUUUCGGAUCGGAAAACUCUGUUGGUAGAGAAGAACGUUGGUGAGAGUGGAAAGCUCAUCAAGUGACGGUAACUACCCAGAAAGGGACGGCUAACUACGUG